rnacentral:pre_miRNA from 1 species
CUUAUACUCCCUCCGUCCCAAAAUUCUUGUCUUAGAUUUGUCUAGAUACGGAUGUAUCUAAUACUAAAAUGUGACUUGAUACAUCCGUAUUUAGACAAAUCUAAGAUAAGAAUUUUGAUACGGAGGGAGUACAUC